rnacentral:lncRNA from 1 species
GACCCCAAAUCGAAAUCAAAACGGGAAUUUCUUCGGACCCCAAAUCAGAUCUAAUUGAAAAAUCAAAAAGGGAUUUCUUCGGACCCGAAAUCCAAAUCGAGAUCAAAAGGGGAUUUCUUCGGACCCCAAAUCAAAUUGCAAAAUCAAAAGGGGAUUUCUUCGGACCCCAAAUCAAAUUGCAAAAUCAAAAGGGGAUUUCUUCAGACCCAAAACCGAAUUGCAAAAUCAAAAGAGAAUUUCCUCAGACCCAAAAUAGAAUUGAAACCCAAACCCAAAUCAAAUCUUCUAGUCCACAAAUAAAACCCAAGUCCACAAUCCAAACCCAAACCCAAAUCAAAUCUUCUAGUCCACAAAUAAAACCCAAACCUACAGCCAUAAAACCCAAACCCAAACUCCAAUCAAAUCUUCUAGUCCACAAAUAAAACCCAAACCUAAAGCCAUAAAACCCAAACCCAAAUCAAAUCUUCUAGUCCACAAAUAAAACCCAAAUCUAAAGCCGUAAAAUCCAAAACCCAAAUUAAAUUGAACCAAAAAUCUGAAACCUAAACCCAAACCCAAACAAAAAAUCAAAACCCAAACCCAAAACCCAAAUCAAAUCCCUAAACCAAUCAAGUCCACAAAUAAAUCCAAAGCCAAAACCCAAAUCAAAUCCCCAAACCAAAACCAAGUCUACAAAUAAAACCCAAAAUCAAAAACAGCCCACAGAUAAGCCCAAAACCAAUCCAAUCCACAAAUAAAAUCCCAAACUCAAAUCCAAUCCGGACCACAAAUAGAACCAAACCCGACUUCCAACUUGGAUUCAUACCCAAGUUCAUGAACCAAAUCUCAUAAACCAUGAACCAAGUUCAUGAAGCUUAUCCAAGUUCGUGAACCAAACACCACGAACCAUACCCAAAUCCCAUAAACCAUGAACCAAGUUCGUGAACCAAACACCACGAACCAUACCCAAGUCACAUAAACCAUGAAUCAAGUUCGUGAACCAAACACCAUGAACCAUACCCGAGUCCCAUAAAUCAUGACCAAGUUCGUGAACCAAACACCACGAACCAUACCCAAGUUCAUGAACCAAAUCCCAUAAACCAUGAACCAAGUUCAUGAAGCUUAUCCAAGUUCGUGAACCAAACACCACGGACCAUACCCAAGUCCCAUAAACCAUAAAUCAAGUUCGUGAACCAAACACCACGAACCAUACCCAAGUUCAUACACCAUGAACCAUAAACCAUACACCAUACACCAUGAACCAUAAACCAUACACCAAAUUCAUGAACCAUAAACUAUGAACCGUAUCCAUGAACCAAAUCUCAUGAACCAUACCCAAGUUCAUAUACCAAAUUCAUGAACCAUAUCCAAGUUUGUGAACCAAACACCACGAACAAUAAACCAAACCUCAUGAACCAUACCCAACCUCAUGAACCAAGUUCAUGAACCACGAACCAAAACCCCAUAAACCAUACACCAAGUUCAUGAACCAUAAACUAAACCCCAUGAACCAUACACCAAGUUCAUGAAACAUGAACCAAAUCCAUAAACCAAGUCCAUAAACCUCAUGAACCAUAAACCAAGUUCAUGAACCAUGAACCAUGAACCAAGUUCAUAAACCUCAUCCAUGAACUAUAUCCAAGUUCAUGAACCAAAUCCCAUACACCAAACCUCAUGAACCAUAAACCAUAACCCAAGCCCAUGGACCAAAUCCCAUGAACUAUAUACCAAACCUCAUGAACCAUAUACCAAAUCCUAUGAGCGAUACACCAAACUAUAUCCAAAUCUCAUGAACCACAUGAACUAUAUCUUAACCUUAUGAACCGAAUCAUGUUCAAAUCCUACAUACCCAAAUCUUAUGAACCAAUACCCAAAUCUCAUACCCAAAGUUCAUCAUAAACCUUUUUUUUUUACUCUAACUCAUAUACCCAUAGUGAAAAUCAAAUAUCGACUACCCCUAAUACAUAUACUUAGGGCUAAGUCAAUCGCCUUAUCACAUAUAACGAAGGCAAAAUCAUCUCCAAAUCGACAG